AUGGAAAUGUGCCCGAGACACUAAGGAUUACUUUGAUAGAGUAAAAUACAGGGAUACCAACCCCCCUCAUUUCCU
rnacentral:tRNA from 1 species